GCUCAGGACGAACGCUGGCGGCGUGCUUAACACAUGCAAGUCGAACGAUGAACCUCCUUCGGGAGGGGAUUAGUGGCGAACGGGUGAGUAACACGUGGGCAAUCUGCCCUGCACUCUGGGACAAGCCCUGGAAACGGGGUCUAAUACCGGAUACGACACGGGAUCGCAUGAUCUCCGUGUGGAAAGCUCCGGCGGUGCAGGAUGAGCCCGCGGCCUAUCAGCUUGUUGGUGGGGUAAUGGCCUACCAAGGCGACGACGGGUAGCCGGCCUGAGAGGGCGACCGGCCACACUGGGACUGAGACACGGCCCAGACUCCUACGGGAGGCAGCAGUGGGGAAUAUUGCACAAUGGGCGCAAGCCUGAUGCAGCGACGCCGCGUGAGGGAUGACGGCCUUCGGGUUGUAAACCUCUUUCAGCAGGGAAGAAGCGCAAGUGACGGUACCUGCAGAAGAAGCGCCGGCUAACUACGUGCCAGCAGCCGCGGUAAUACGUAGGGCGCAAGCGUUGUCCGGAAUUAUUGGGCGUAAAGAGCUCGUAGGCGGCUUGUCGCGUCGGAUGUGAAAGCCCGGGGCUUAACCCCGGGUCUGCAUUCGAUACGGG
rnacentral:rRNA from 1 species